CAGAUUUUAUUUCCCUCCUGGUCAACUCUCCAAGUGUUCCACAUACCAUACCUCCUCCCCACACCCCUGCCUCCAUGAGGAUGUCCCCAGCACCCAGCACCUAACCCACCAGACCUCUAAACUACCUGGGGCCUCAGUCUAGAACUGAGUGGGAGGUAUUUGGUCACGUUAGGUUGGAACAUAUGAAGUUCCCAUUUUUAGAUCACUAAUAGAAAAUUGUAUCCAUAUUUAUGGGCCUUGAUGCAAAUGACCUAAGAUGCCUUGUUUCCUUGCUAUUUUUCUCUAUUGUCUUCCGUGAUUGUCUCAGGUUUUUGUUGUUAAAAUGAUUACAAGUGUUCACCACAAGGGCUACCUUUAUGUGUUGUAAGCUGUAGUCAUAACAAACUACUUGCAUAUCCCCAAAUAUUUUCUCUCAGAUUACAUUCCUGGCUUUCCUAUCCUUGGUUCUUGAUCUCCAUGAAUCCUUAUAUUCUUCUGGGUGUUAAUGGGUAACUAUUUAUCCUCUGUGGUACACUGUGUGAAUCACUCAGUCUAUCUAGCUUUGUCCUGUAUGCCCAAGAAAGAUCUUUGAGCUCCUUUGUUUCUUGUUCCGUUCCUGUGGCAAUGUGCUGUUGUCUGUUCACAUGUUUUCUUUACUAAACACGUAAGCCACACAAGAGGCUGCCAUUGUAAUCUUACAUCCGGUUCAGUCUCUAGUACAGAGUAGACGUCAAAUUCAUGUCUGAGGAAGACGAAUGAGACCAGGGGAAGAGAACAGGAAAUACAUUCUAUGAGAUCAUAGGAAUCCGACGCUUAUGUUAUUUUCUAUAGGAUUUCAGAGUUCAGAGAACUGACAAUUGGGUGUCUUGCUGGCUUAUUGAAAUAAGAAGGCUCCAUAAUGCCUCUGCUCUCAGUCCUUUGCCUUACAAAUGGAGGCAGGAUUUAAGAGACUUAGUCAUUUUCUCAGCAGUGGGAACCUUAUUGCAAAGGAAGAUGGCAGGCAGCCCACUAGGAAGUAAAGACCACUUGGCAUGAAUCGGCCUUACUCACCAGCAGCCAGCAGCCAGCUCCCACCCACUGCUUCCAUUCAGGUUGAAGGCUGGCGCAGUGGAGGUGCACCAAAAGCAGUGAGCAGGAUGGCUGGAGACCGGCAAACCUCGAACUGAACCCGGAAAUAAGAAACAAGAGAAGGAGGAACACUUGUCUGGAUGACGACGUACACCUCCAACCAGUCUGCCCUGUUAUCCCAGCUUUCUCCUCUGUAGCUGCGUAGUCCCAGCCCAGAUCACGGAUAAUCUCAAUGCAGUGGUCCAUGAUUGCACUGUGUUCCAUAUUCACAAGGUAGCUCACAAAGGCAUGAUAGUGCACUGCACUGCAUCCUUGUGGUAGAGUUGUCUGUGUACUUUUUCCCCACUUUGGUUAUGGAAUGAGUCUCUGGGUUUCAUAGUUCAGUGAUUCCUCCUUUAAGUUAUUUCUAGUCAUAUUAACACUGCUCGUCACCGGUAGUUCUCCAACUCUUCUUCCAAGGUGAUUUCUGAACACUGAUUGAGUUUGGUAUUUACUUCAGUACCCAGGAAUGUUCCAGAAAUGACUGUGAGUUCCUUCAAAGUUCACUGAAUAGGAUGACUGACAUUAGGAUGGGGUUGAUGGAGAGAUCUCUGAGAUAGGCAAAAGAAGUUAUUCAGCUAUCAUCUAUACAUUUUCCUUCUUGAUUAUAUAAAAUUGCUUUUCUGUUGCUGUUGUUGCUAGUGUUGUAGAUUAACUGAAAGUAUGAAGAUUUCCUUCAAGGAAAUGUUCACCAGCUUCUGACUUUUGACAACGAAUGUUCUCAGCCAAUAUAUGAAAUUAAUGAUGGGCUCUCAUCUUUUUUUAAAGAAAUAGGUUAAUGGCUUUUGGCUGGCAAACUAGACAUAAUGAAAGAGUUCUCACGAUCUUACUUAGUUUGCCGAGACCAUAGCAUGAUCCAUACCUGCUGGUGGCAUGCUUGACUUAUACACUUUGAAGAAAAAUAAACUUUAAAAAAAAUCAUUACAACAAAGAAGGAAAGAAAGGGGGGGGAGCAAAGAAGAAGUAAAGGACAAAAAGCAGGUGGUGGCAUCUUAGGAUGUCUUGGUCUCGACAAAUUAACUUGUUGAGUUACAAUGUCUGGUGUCAUAUAUUAUUAAUUAAGGAAUAAUUGCUAUUGGCUUUAUAUGGAUGAGAGAGGGCAAACAAAUAUACAAACACUUUAAAAACCCUUCUAGUGCUCUCAAACAAGAAUGGCUAUGAUUGAUGGAAUAUGUGACUAAAACCCAUCUUUUUGAACUAUUGUGCUUUUGCUUAAAAUAAAUCCAAUGCCAUAGUUUUUGAAGUUAAAAAUUUUAUUAUUUCCAAAUUCUUGUAUAUUAUAACGCACAUGCUUGCCGGGGAUUAUGUUCCUUGCAUCAGCCACUAGCCAUCAAUGAGUGGUUUAUACCAUCAGCUUAGUCUCUGUGUUUCAGCAUCAGUAUCCUGUAAGUGUGUGAAGUUUCUUUUAUUUUUAUAAAACACUUCCUUUGGUCUGUCAUCAGCCCUGAGAGAAAUUAAAGGAGAUUUUUGUUUUGUUUUGUUUUUUUGGUUUGGUUUGGUUUGGUUUGGUUUUUUGAUGUACAUCUUUAAAACACAGCUUCCCUGGGUACAUCUACAACACUAUAGCAGGGCAAUGCCAGAAUAUACUAAUGAGAGAGCCUGGGUCAGACAUUUAGAGCUUGCUUGAGGUUUGAAUGUCAAAAUAUUGAAGCAUUUAAAACUUUAGGUAAAAGAACUUCAAAACCUGUCAAAAUGAGACUGCUAAUGGCUCUGUAACAAAACAUGCCCGAGAACCUGGGGACGCCAGGAAAGAAACAAAGGCUUGAUAACUGCUGGGCAGAUAUUUAUACUGGACACAAGCAGCAGCUGUGAUUAUACAUGCUAUUACAUAUUAUAUUAUGUACUAUGACAUAGAACAUAAUUAUUUAGAUAGACUUUACCCCAAGUAACCGACUGAGUUUUCCUGUCCACUCCUAUAAAAUGUUUAAAUUCUAAUCCCACCUUGAUGGUGUGAUGGGUGGCCUUUGGAGGUGGAGCUUUGAAGAGGUUACUAGGUCACAAGUGUAGACCUCUUAUUAGUGAAAUUAACUCAUUUAUUAAAGGGACUCUAGAGAUCAUUAGUCCUCCUCCCACUAUAUGACAAUUCAAAGACUGAGGUAUCUACAACAUACAAAGGGACUCUAACUAGAUCCCAACUAUUCUGCCACUCCAAUCUCGUUUGUCCUCCAGACAAGUGAAAAUUAUUAUUAUUAUUAUUAUUAUUAUUAUUAUUAUCAUUAAUUAUUCCACUAACUAUGGAAUUUCUUUUACAGCCUCCAGCAUUCCCUGACACCCCUGAUUUGUAUAUUUCUAUAACCAAGUCCUAAUUUAAUAGGUGGAGACUAGUUCCCAUUAUUCAAGUGAGUUCAGUAAAACCCAAGAGUGGCCAAAAUUAGUUGACACCAGCAAUGAACAUUUAUCUUAUGCCCAUUUUUUUAUCUGGUGCUAUACAGUAGUUAUAAAAAGACAUGUGUCUUCUUGGACCAGGUACCUUGCAAAUCUGCCAUCACUAGCAGUUUGGCACACUGGAGUUACAAGUCUUCACACACCCUGCCAACUCUCUAAAGUGAUUUUGGGAAGCUAAGAACCUAGAAAAAUGAGCAACAGUUAGAGAUCUAACAGGAUUACAAAUAAAUGGAUAUCUAAAUUGAAGAAGAAUGAGGGCCUCGUGGAAACCAGCCAGAGAGCCAAAGCCAGACAGCAGAGAGAUCAAACUGUUUGCCUCUAAAAGAAGAGAGGAAAAGGAGAGUUGAAAGGCUAAAUAAAAACAGAAAAGCAUUCUGUCCAAAGAAAGCUAAAUAUACAGAUGUGUGUGUGUGUGUUCACUUCUAAAGGCAAAAGUAAAGUAUGCCCUAUAUUAUUUUCCAUGAGGUCAACGAAAUAACUCAAGUAAGUUUCUGAUUGGCUCUUAGCACAUACGAAUAUGAAAGGAUAUAUUCAGGAAAGCAAGUUUAAUUUGUGCAUGCAUUAGUUCAUGGAUACACAGUUUUGGUUUGUCACAUCCACCCAAAGUUCUGCUUUGGAAAAUCAAGAGAAAAUAUACCACCGCCGAGAACCAUAAUUCUCCCCCCUUCUACUCCCAUUGCAGGACAGGAGGACGCAAGACUGGAGGAGAACCGAAUUGGGGAUUUACAAAGCCUCUGCGAAGUCUGAUGUGCUUCCCAGAGUUCAGACCUAAGUGUUCAGUUAGUUGUUUUCUGAGUCUCUGCAAAGGUCAGGCACGUGGUUGAGUGAAAACCCAGCUUUGGAAGAUCUGUUUCCAUGGAAGACAUGAAGUCUCUCCAGUAGAUCUAUGUGGGGCCCAUUGUCUGCUUCAAGGAGUAGUGAGAUGUCUACAAGUCACAAAAGACUUCUCAACAGAACCCAGAAUCCUGGGAAUGGGGACAUGAAUCAGAAAAAAAAAAAAAAAAAAAAAAGGGAGGGGUUAGCUGUAGGGCUAACGUUUCAGAGAUCCCAGUAUAUCUGGGGAGGGCAUUCUUCUUUUCUGUAUAAAUCUGUUUUCAUUGUGCUGGAGAAAUACUUGCAUCAGCUGAUGUUGAGACUCAGAACUCACAAAGGGCUCUCCUGGCCUGAUUGCAAAGGGCAGUGAGGAGAAGAAAAGCUCAUAGCUGUCAGUGGUCCAGGGUCCAGGCCAAGGCAAGUAAGAGGUGAGAUGGCCACUGUGGAUGCUAUAUCAGGUCCUUCUGGCAGAGCCUGUCAGUGCUCUGGGACCAGAGAGGGAGGGUGAGUGGGUGGGUGGGUUGGAGAAUGGACAGUAUUUCCACAGUAUCAAUAUGCUUUGAUCUUGGAGGAGACAAGCUAGAGGCAGAGCCAGCAAUGGCUGCGGGUUUGCCAGCAGCUUCAUCCCCUAAGGGUGAGAUUCCAUUCUUAAAAUUUCAGGGUCAAAGAACAAAGAGAAAGGAACGGAGAGGGGAAAACUCAGGCUCCAGCCCUGGGAAGAACACUGGGAGCAUUCCCUGUCUUCUCAGGUGUUGAAGGAAGGCCAAGGUGUUGGACAGGUCCUGGUGGUUGGAAUCCCUCUUCCUUUCCAGGCCUCAAUUUAGUAGCCUUCUGGCCGCACACCCUCUCUGCCAACAUCACUCAAUCCCAGCCAUUGCUGGAAAAUGUCCCUGCCUCUUUUAGUUGCUUGCCUUCACUUUGGGGUAUUUAGCUAGUGACCCGAUGCUCACAGGUACCCAUUUCUGACCCUUUGUUUUACACUGAGUGAACACCUCUACUCCAGUGUCCCUAACACACACACACACACACACACACACACACACACACACACACACACACACACACACACGAGCCCCUUGUCAUCUUACCCCCACCAGCCUGAGAAGCAUCUUGUCAGUUCCUCCCUCAAAUCCUUGAACCACAGAGACAGGUUGCUGUCAAAUCCAAUCACAAUCAGGUGUUAGUCAAGACAGCUCCUUACAUGGCUUCUUCUCUUUGCUGUAUAGGAAGAUCCCAGGUUGGGGAGUGCCAUUAAGAUGCCUAUGUCUUUUCCUCAUUACAAUGUCCUUUUUCUAAUUAACAUCUCUCCCUUCCUAUGUAAGUCGGAUUGGUUUGCAGUUCACAUUAGAAAGUAGCUAGGGGGAAUCUUAGGAGAGUCUGAGACGUAUUAAUGGGAGAAGGAAGCCCUGGGGCCAGGUGGCUUUUGUCUGUCAUGGGGAAAAACAAGGAUGCAGUUGAUGCAGAGCUCCUACUUGGACUUCAACUUUUUAAAGUGGGAUAGGUUUCACACCACGGAGGUCCGAAGCUCUGGCUCUGCAAACUAAUUCCAAGUUAAAAAAUACCACCCACCUUGCUCCCAGUUAGGGUGAAGAGGGUGCGCUCCGUUGUGUGCGGGGAGGUAAUGCAAGAGCAGAGGGGAGGGGGCAGAAGUAGAGGGUAAAGGGGGAGCCAGUAGCAACCGUGCUUCUGAGUAUCAACAAAGAUAAGGCUGUGUGUGGUCUUGUCCUAGUAGCUGGAGGUCCCUGCUCAGUGGCAGCGGUGGUGGCCAGAGCAGCAGCAGUAGAAGCAGCGAGCGGGACGGAGUUAGGACCGCUCGGAGCGCCCAGGUCUCGAGGUAGUGUAAGGUUUUUUUGCAAUCCUUCCACUCGCUGGCAGUUGCAGAAGAUCUGCUUUUUAAGUGAGAAGAACACGCCACCCCUCCGAGGGCUGCGGCUUCCUGGGGCUGUUUCGUCGCUCGUCGCUUUGCGGGCCCCUGGCGCUCACUCUCUAAUUCGUCCGCGCCCCUAAGUUUGCCGAGAGCUGGCUGCGGGCUGGGAGCAGGGUCCCGGCCGGGCGCCGCGGGCGGGGGCUGGGUAGCGGCGAACCGCAAUCCCGAAGCAUCUUGGGGCCAUGUAUAUUUCAUCAAACGGACUUUGGGUGCGUCGCGUCUCGCAGCCAUCAACGCUAUGUUCAGUGACAUUUCUGACUUGAGUGGAGGAAUGCGCGAAGAAAACCGGGGCGAAAUUGCUUCGAGAGGAUCUUCUUGGCGCCAAGGCUAAUUGUCCUGAUUUAUGUCGCUUCUGACAAAAAAGAAAAAAAAAAAGACCUAACGUCUUCAUCUGAAAUAAAAUGAAAGCGGUGCCAAGCGGGAUAGAGCCGCCUGGCUGCUGGUUCUGAUCCCCUGGGAUCCAGGGGGGGAAAAUCGUUCUGCAGCUUAAAAGAAAAGAAAGGAAUAGAAACAGAGAAGAGAGAGAGAGAGAGAGAGAAAAAAAACCCACAGUAAAAGUUUAAGGCGAGAAGUGGUGGCGGCGGCGGCGGCGGCGCGGGGAAGCUGCGAGCGGAGAAGGUUGCCGAGACCUCGGAAGGCGGCGAUUUGGUUCCUAAUCCCACUGUAUUUUUGGAGGGAGAGGCACCUUUCUCAUCCUCCCUUCCUCUCCGCCCACCCCUCUCCCUCCCCCUCAUCUACCUGUCAAAGUCACUGAUCUUUUGCAUUUUGGAAGAGGACGUCAACGGGAAGGAAUUCCCCCUGUCAGGGUCCCGGCUCCGAGAGGGGGCGACGCGCGACAAGGCUGCCCCAGGGGCAAGAGACCAAGGUUGCUGGUGCCAGAAGAGGGAAGAGAAAAGAUUGAAGGGAAACAGAUACAGGACGAUAGACACCAUCCCUUUGCUUCUGAUGCUGAUACUUCAGCUCAUCUGAGGAGCCCUGAUGAACCCAGAACAGCAAGGAUCACUCAGGAUUAUUGGAUGUACAACGGGAGAGCCGUCACUUUGCUAAAUUAUUAUCUGCUCCUGGACAUCUUUCACAAAAGUCAAAUAGAUAUGUUCUACGAGGAGAAAUGGCUGCAAGCUGUUAAUGCCUAACAGAUAAGCAUGUUAGGCUUCUACCAAAGUCCUCAGCAUACCUGACCGCAUAGAAUAUUUCAAUCUGUCACAUUUGGUUUUGGAAUCUGCUUUGAGAUCUCAGCCUAUUUUUUUAUACAUAUACAGACCUACCUACAUAAAGAUACAUAUAGACACGUGCACACACACACACACACACACAUAUAAGAUACUCAUGUAUAUUUAAAAGAGACACUGAUUGCAUAGAAGACACGAAGAUUGCCAAGAUUUUAGAGAUGUAUUUGUCAAGAUUCCUGUCGAUCCAUGCCCUGUGGGUGACAGUGUCCUCUGUGAUGCAGCCCUACCUUUUCGUGUGGGGACAUUAUGAUGUAUGUAAGAGCCUGAUUUACACAGAAGAAGGCAAAGUUUGGGAUUACACAGCCUGCCAGCCGGAAUCCACGGACAUGACCAAGUAUCUGAAAGUGAAACUGGACCCUCCGGAUAUUACCUGUGGAGACCCUCCAGAGUCCUUCUGUGCAAUGGGCAACCCUUACAUGUGCAAUAAUGAGUGUGAUGCGAGUACCCCUGAACUGGCACACCCUCCUGAGCUGAUGUUUGAUUUUGAAGGAAGACAUCCCUCCACAUUUUGGCAGUCUGCUACUUGGAAGGAGUACCCCAAACCUCUCCAGGUUAACAUCACUCUGUCUUGGAGCAAAACCAUUGAACUCACAGACAACAUAGUUAUUACCUUUGAAUCGGGGCGUCCAGACCAAAUGAUCCUAGAGAAAUCUCUCGACUACGGACGAACAUGGCAGCCCUAUCAGUAUUAUGCCACAGACUGCCUCCAUGCAUUCCACAUGGACCCGAAAUCCGUGAAGGAUUUAUCUCAGCACACGGUCUUGGAAAUCAUUUGCACGGAAGAGUACUCCACUGGGUACUCCACGAAUAGCAAAAUAAUCCACUUCGAGAUCAAAGACAGGUUUGCGUUUUUCGCUGGACCUCGGCUACGAAAUAUGGCUUCCCUCUAUGGACAGCUGGAUACAACCAAGAAACUCAGAGAUUUCUUCACUGUCACAGACCUGAGGAUCAGGCUGUUGAGACCCGCCGUUGGGGAAAUAUUUGUAGAUGAACUACAUUUGGCACGUUACUUUUAUGCGAUCUCAGACAUAAAGGUGCGAGGAAGGUGCAAGUGCAACCUGCAUGCCACUUCGUGUUUGUAUGACAACAGCAAACUGACAUGUGAAUGUGAGCACAACACUACAGGUCCCGACUGUGGGAAAUGCAAGAAGAACUACCAGGGCCGACCUUGGAGCCCCGGCUCAUACCUCCCCAUCCCCAAAGGCACCGCAAACACCUGUAUCCCCAGCAUUUCCAGUAUCGGUAACUGUGAAUGCUUCGGCCACUCCAAUCGGUGCAGUUAUAUCGAUCUGCUAAACACAGUCAUUUGCGUGAGCUGUAAACACAACACUAGAGGGCAGCACUGUGAGUUAUGCAGGCUGGGCUACUUCAGAAAUGCUUCUGCACAGCUGGACGAUGAGAAUGUGUGCAUAGGUCAGUUCCAUUAUGAUUUCAGCUUUUGUUCUGUGCCUUUGGAGCUAUGGGGAGCUGGUUAGGGUGAAGACGCUGGUGAACUGCACGACAGCUGAGCCAGAAUGAAUAUCCUCAAUGGAGUAAAUAUCCUUGGUAGACUGAAAAUUCGCUUGCAUUUGGAUAAAGCCAUAUUUGGUCUGGGGUUGGGGGAUGGAACUUGAAUCCUUAUAUUGUUAUGUUAAAGAUGGUGUCAUGAGAAAUCAUAUCUAGGAAAUGAAGAAUAUUCGAAUUUUCUUUCUUUAGUCUCUCUCUCUCUCUCUCUCUCUCUCUCUCUCCUUUUUGUCUCUUUAAUUUUUGCAUGAAAUCUUAAAAUCUGAUAAAUUUUUAUCUGAUUUUAUUCACCUCAAAUUCUACAUUCAACCUUUAAGAUGAUAAUUAACUAUUUUAGGUAAAAUACUUUGUGAUACAGAGUCAGGUAUAAUUGAUGAUGAUCUACAAAUAUUGGUAUAUUAAAAUGUUGCUAUUAAGAACUGAAAACUACUAGUAGAUUCUAAUGCAAAAGUUUGCAUACCUUUUCUAUAUGCAGCAAUGAAAUUCCACUUAUUGGAUUUUCCUAUUGUUCCCAGAGGAAGAGUAAUUUCUCAAGACUUCUCCAGGUUAUAAAUUCUGUUAGAUCACAAGGUAUAUGAGCCAUAGAAAAUAGAGUCUUGGGAAGAGAAAUCCCAGGAGCCUCGCCCCUCCCCCAUGACGGAUUAUUCUCAGCUAAAAGGAUCAGGUGUUCCUUCCCUUUUGGAAGUUUCUUCUACCUUCUCUAUGAAGAGCCUGACUUUAAGGAAGGAAGUCUGGAGCCAGGCAUGCUGGGGCACACUUGUAAUCAGUACAAGUGGUAGAUGAACGAAACGAAUCAGGAAUUUGAGGCAGGCUUUGGCUACAUGGUGGAUGGAGGCCAGCCUGCAUUGCAUGAGCCCCUAUCUCAAAACAGUGGCAUGAGAGAGCCUGAUAGAGAAGCAGUAAAUGGAAUUUCAUUGCAUAAUUUACUCUUUAAAGUGUAUAUAUUUGAAGUGUGAUGCCUGUUACCACACCAGUAAUUAUACAAGCAAAAUUUUCCAGAGACAAAUUUCAAUAGCAUUGAUAAGUUGGAAAAUUAAAGCAUAGUAGACAUAAAAUAAAAAGUGAUCUUUUUGUCAAAAGUAAGAGGCAGUUUUUCAAUUCAACUGUGAGUCUUGGAUCCCCACUUUCUGCCUUCAGUGUGACAAUCAUGGACAUUCUUGCCUACUACCAUUGAAUAGCACUAUGGUUAUUUUGAAUUUAUUUGGACCAAGUAUGCAUAUGCCGACAAUAUUUUCUAUUUCUUUCAAAAUGCUUCUUUUUUAUUAUUUGUGAAUUAGUGGAGAAAGUACUGGAGUUAGAUGCUGGAGAGCUGGGUUCAACACCCAGUUUGCUAUCCCCUAGCUAGGUAAGUCAUUUAAACCUCCUGGCUUUUUUGUAAACAAAUGGACAGGAAGCACUGGUAAAGUAUGCACUGACAUGCAAUUAAAAAAAAAAGAUAAAACAACUAAUUCUCAUUAACAAAACAGUAGGGUAAGUAUUAUAAUAAUGAUUUUUUUCCUCUUUCAUAUUGGGGGUGAAAUAAAGACAGAUUGACCCAACUUGUAUACUCUUAGCGAAAAACAUCCUGACUUCAUGAACUGAACACUCUCUCCUAACCACUCUAACACAGCCAGCAAAGCUAUAGAUGCCCAGACUUUACCUCAAGUAUGCUUUUGCAGGACAGUAGCCAUCCUACUGCCAUCUUAUGAAAAGGUGUCCAAUUACAUUCCUAACACUUAGAUUAUGAAGACUUGAGGAUAUUAAUAGAAACAAAAGGAUGCACUGCUGUCUUAAUUUUGAGUGUAGAAUAUAUUCUGCUGUAUGCCACUUGUGAAAAAAUAUAAAUACCCUCCUAUAAAUAAAGACAAAACAAAAGGUUAAGUGAAUACAACCACUAGAACAAACUCUAAUUCACUACAUAUAUACAUAGGCAUAUAUGCAUAUAUAUGAAAUUAAAGUAUCUCACAUUUAAAUACUUUAAAUAAAGCAAAGCAAAAAGACCUUACAGGGAAAGAUUGAAUAUUUAAUUUGUAAGUCCCUACCACAGCAAUUGAGAACUAAUUGCUAUUUAGUCCAGAAAGAACUAAAGGAAUGGAUAUUUGCUUAAUUCAUUCUCACAGCAUUCUCAAGUACUUUGAACUCUACAUCAUCUCUAAAUUAAAAAAACAAACUUUUUCAAUAGAUGCCUUGCAAUUUUUUUUUUUUUUUUAGUAAUUGUCAAUUAAAUUCACCAUCCAACUGUGAGGGAAUAGCUCACAUCUCUAAUCUAGGUAGAUGUUUUGAGGUCACUUUAUAUUAUAGCAAAUUUAUAAUGCAGCUGGAUAGUUCAUGUUGCCACAGUGAUUGCUGCUUUGUGGUGACUGGUGAAUUUUUUCAAUUUUCAUACAUAUUCCAAGAAGACAUACAGUCAUGUCUUCUGAGGUACAUGACAUUUCCCCAUGACGAUGCAACAAUUACAUGAAAAUGGCAUCCUUGUUUGCCUUUGUCUCCUACAAACCUGAGCAUUAAGCAGGAAGCUAGAGGAUGCAUGGUUUCUGACCUUGAGUAAUCACUGUUAAUAAUUCCCCUAACGAGCUUUGCAUCAGAGAGAAACACAGGGCUCAGCAGUUGCUACUAAACAUAUCUCAAAGUUAUGAUGCAUUAUUUUUAAUUCUCCUUGAAACCCACGAUCAGGUAAUGAGAGGUUCCUUGCACAGAACCAAGGAAACUCAAGACGAUUUUAAUGCCCCUAAAUAAAUUGUAGUAUAAGGUUUUAAUUGAGCUGUGCAAAGUAUUUUAUGCUGGCUUGCAAUCUGACAGCCCUGCAUUUUCUUCAUAAUUUCAUGUAAUAAAAUAUUAUCCUUACGGUCUCUCCUACUAUUCCAUGUAUCAUUGAAUAGAACUUCCUAAGUGAUAAAUCUAAAAAAAACUGUACUAUUCCUAUAUAAGGUGAAGAAGGGAAAACAUUAUGUCUCUUACCCGUUUAUUUUUAUAACUAAGAUUACAUUGUCCAGCUUUCUUACAACAAAGACUGGGACUUACUAUGGAUUAGAUGUUGGACAGUAUAUUUUUUGAUUUUUAAAAACCUAUCUCUUUGAUCACUGUGGACUACUUGGAACAGCAUGUAGGUUCAUACUGCCCAGGUGUAACAAAAACUGGCUUACAAAACACCAACAACUCUUUAUCAACAUGCCCACUUUAUAAAGUGACACCCAUUCCAGGGCGACCUAGGCACAACUCAGUGAAUACAAAUGUAUAAACAAAAAUUAAAAACCACAACAAAAUAAUGACUUUUAAUUAUUCCUACCCACACAUAGGCACACAUUAGAAUAAAAAAUGCUGCCAUGGAAAAGUAGAAAUGUUUUGGAAUUUUAUUUUAAUUUUACACACACACACACACACACACACACACACUUACACACCAUCAUUAGUUGUAUAACUGUUUGUUUCAUGAGAAUUCUAAGCUCUAAAUACUGAGUUAACACAACAUAAAUCAUAAUUCAAAGGUCUUUCACAUCGUUGGAAGAAAUUUUCAUUUGUCUCAAUGUCAAAAUUUGAGUAAAACCUCCAGGUCUAUUCACAAUGAUAAUUCCAAAUCCUCAUCGCUAAUGACACAACUCACUUAAAAUUAAGCUGAACUCCCCAGAGCUUUGGUCCAUUUGCUACAUGAUUUUAUUCCAACUUUUAUUGGGAGAUCCUCAGAAUGGUUCCAUCUUAAAAUAAAAGAAAAUUGAGAAACAGAAAGUCCCAAUAACCUGCCCAAGAUCACACAGCAUGGUAGUGGUGAAAAGAACACCAGCUCAGACAUCCCUUGCUCCAAACCACCUAUGUGUCUCCACCUAGGGGACAAAACAGGUUUCCCACUCCCCACUUAAGCUAUGAACACUAUAGAGCUUCAGAUAUUCAAAUGCCCUGUCUAGGAGUGCAUGGGGAUCAAAGAAACAUUCCCUUGGCUUUUUAUUAUGCCAAGCCAUUACCUUGCCCGGACAAGAAAGUUGUAGAGACAAACAUCCAUCUCAAAGUUUAUUUUCCUUCAGAUUGGGAGUAUGAAAUUUAUUUUUCUUUCAUGGUUGUUCAUGUAAGCUACAUAAGAGCUGUGUGAUCAUGGCUAGCAAACACAAUGGCUAAGGGCUCAUCUCAAAACCCGAUACAUAUAAAUAAGUUAAGACACCAUCCAAAAUCAUAAAGCAAAAGUACCUUUAAAUGAGUAAAGUGCAUUCGUAUUGCACUUUGAGACGCUCAGCCAUUCCCAGAUAUUGAGGGUAGCAGAUAAACCCAUUUGAAUAAUUUAAAACAGAUUUUACACUGAUGGAAUAUUGAUUUAUCCUUGAUAUACAUACUUCUCAUGGCAUUCAUUAAACCAUCUAAAAAAUGACCUAACAAAUGGAAUCUCCAUUAUGAUCUGUUACUGGUGAAAGCAUGAUGUCUUAUUUCCUUGGAAGGGUUCAGCUCUUUUCCUCCCCUAUCAUAAAGAUGAUGCCAUGGAAGGCUGAGCAAGUAAAUAAAUGGCCCUGAAAUAGCCACAUUUGCCAAAGCAUUUCAUUAAUGGACAUCUUCCUUUAAAGUGUUAUUGUAACCCUUUGGGCUCAAUCCAUGAUCGUUGUAAUGGCUCAGGAUUUUGUGAGUGUAAGACUGGAACAACAGGGCCUAAAUGUGAUGAGUGUCUGCCAGGAAAUUCCUGGUACUACGGCUGUCAACCUAAUGUCUGCGACAAUGAGCUCCUGCACUGCCAGAAUGGAGGGACCUGCCAGAACAAUGUGCGCUGCGCGUGCCCAGACGCCUACACCGGCAUCCUCUGUGAGAAGCUACGGUGCGAAGAGGCGGGCAGCUGUGGCUCCGAAUCCGGCCAGGGAGCACCCCCGCGGGGCUCCCCAGCACUGCUGCUGCUGACCAUGCUGCUGGGGACUGCCGGUCCCCUGGUGUUCUAGGGGUCACACCCAGCCCUCCGACAGGCCUGUGCUGUGGGGAAGCAAACACAACCCAAGCGAUUGCCACUGACAUAGAAAACACGCACACCCACUCCAACACAGUGUAUAAAAGAAGAGGGCCUAACUGAACUAAGCCAUAUCUCUCAGAACCGGACAGCACAUCGCACAUCGGAGUUGAGACUGUUCAUCAUUGACUCCAGAGGAAUUGGCAGCUGUUGCUAUUCUCACUGCAAAUCUCAUUGCCAGCUGCAGAGCUGAUUGCGGAUUGGAAAGGCUGUGAGAGCGCCCCCAAGAGGAAAGACGGAAAACAAACUGAUCAACCAACCUAAAAACAUUCGCUACUCUACCGUGGUGCACCCUAGUACCGCUCUGCUCAGUGUGUGGGCCAACCAAAUAAAAGCAUUCUUCGCUGUCAGGUGCAUUGUGGGUAUAAGGAAAUCUGUUACAAGCUGCCAUAUUGGCCUGCUUCAGUCCCCCCGACCCCCAAAUCCCUUCCAACCUGUGCUUUAGUGAACGUUGCUCUGUAACCCUUGUUGGUUGAAAGAUUUCUUUGUCUGAUGUUAGUGAUACACACGUGUAACAGCCCCCUCCAAAGCGCAAGCCAGUCAUACCCCUGUAUAUUUUAGCAGCACUGCGGUCCCAGUGCCAGCUCACGUCCACUUCACAAGAGUGGUUAGAGGAAAAGAGAAAGUGUAUCUAUCCUUUUGUAUUCAAAUGAAGUUAUUUUUCUUGAAAUAAUGUAAUAUGUAGAUUUUUUGUAUUAUUGCCAAUUUAUGUUACCAGACAAUCUGUUAAUGUAUCUAAUUCGAAUCAGCAAAGACUGACUGAUGUUUGAGUUUUUGGUCCUCUUUGGUUUUGUUUCGUUUCGUCAUGCAGAGAUUUCUCUGUAAGGGCAACGAGCGUGCUGGCAUCAAAGAAUAUCGGUUUACAUAUAGCAAGUGUAAUAAGAUUCCACCAAAGGACAUUUUAAAUGUUUUUUCUUGUUGCUUUAACACUGGAAGAUUUAAAGAAUAAAAAUUCCUGCAGAAAUGUUAUCAGGAAAUUGUAUGGCCGUUUCUUAAGACGAAAGGAGCAACCACCCAGCAGUUUCCCAGUCACGUCACUGAUUUUUGUGUGGACUGAACACAGUCAGCUGACAACUUUAAUAACCAGGAAGACGGAUUGAUGGUCACUAGCUUGGACAACGUCUGCAAAAUAUGAGACUAUUUUCCACCUGGGAAAAAAUUAUAACCACAAAAACAGAGAGAAAGAAAUAUCUAAGUGAUUGCCAAGAUUAUGCCAAAGCCUGUUGGCAGAGCACUAAGAGACUUUUAUUUUUAAGUCAUGCUAUUUUCACAGAUUUAUGGUGAUCAUGUGACUCUAGGGAUGCCGAUCUAUGUAUCCUUCCAAAUACAGUGUUUACAUGGAGUAUCAUAAGAGGCCACCUGGGGAACCAGGACAGCAGCAGGGAAAUUGAGUGAUUAGCAAUUUGACUUUGAAUAUAUUCUAAGUAUUUAAAUGAAAUAUCAAAAUAUACAGCAGCAAGUAGACAUAACUGCUGUUCCUGAAAAUAAAGUCUGUUUCAAGUACUGCCCAA